AUGGCGGCGGCGGUGUCGCGCGACGACGAGCUGGUGGUCAAGUCCCCCAGCGACAACCGUUCCUACCGCCUCCUCCGCCUCGCCAAUGGCCUCUGCGCCCUCCUCAUCCACGACCCCGAGAUCUACGCCGACGGCGGCCCUGCCCCCAAGCCAAACGAAGACGUGGACAUGGACGACGGGGACGACGAGGAAGAUGGUGACGAGGACGACGACGAAGAUGACGAAGAGUAUAGCGACGAGGAGGGGGAGGAUGACGACGACGAAGAAGGCGAGGAGGACGAGGAUGGGAGCGAGCCCAAGAGGAAGAAGGACAAGGGCAGCUCCGAGCCGGUCAUUAAGAAGGCUGCUGCUGCAGUGUGUGUUGGAAUGGGCAGUUUUGCGGACCCUCCAAAGGCACAGGGUUUGGCUCAUUUUCUAGAGCACAUGCUUUUUAUGGGGAGCUCUGUUUUUCCUGAUGAAAACGAGUAUGACAGUUACCUGUCCAAACAUGGUGGUUCAUCCAAUGCUUUUACUGAAACUGAGUACACAUGCUAUCAUUUUGAGGUCAAUCGUGAGUAUCUUAAGGGAGCCUUAGACAGAUUUUCUCAGUUCUUUGUAUCACCUCUUGUUAAGGCUGAAGCUAUGGACCGCGAGAUAUUAGCAGUAGACUCAGAGUUCAAUCAAGUUCUGCAAAGCGAUAGCUGCCGCCUUUACCAACUGCAGUCCCAUACUUGCUCUCAAGGGCACCCAUUGAAUAGAUUUACCUGGGGAAACAAGAAAAGCUUGUCGAAUGCAAUGGGCAGUGGAAUCAAUCUAAGGGAAGAGAUUUUGCAAAUGUACAUGAGUAACUAUCAUGGAGGGAUGAUGAAGCUAGUUAUAAUUGGGGGAGAACCCCUUGACACUCUAGAAGCCUGGACCAUAGAGCUAUUCAGUGAAGUUAAAGCUGGUCCUCUGUUAGAAAUAAGUCCAAAGUCUGAUAUGCCUUUCUGGAAAUCUGGUAAACUUUAUAAGCUAGAGGCUGUCAGAGAUGUUCACAGUCUUUUCCUGUCAUGGACACUUCCUUGCCUGCACAAGGAAUACAUGAAGAAACCAGAAGAUUACUUGGCACAUCUCCUUGGUCAUGAGGGCAAGGGAAGCUUGCUAUAUUUUUUGAAAGCUAAAGGUUGGGCUAGCACAUUGAGUGCUGGCGUUGGCACUGGAGGAACACAACGAUCCUCAUAUGCCUAUAUCUUUGAGAUGUCUAUCCGCCUUUCUGAUUCUGGACUUAAAAAUCUCUUCGAGGUCAUUACAGCUGUGUACCAAUAUAUAAAUUUACUUAAGCAGUCUGAGCCGCAAGAAUGGAUAUUUAAGGAACUUCAGGACAUUGGGUACAUGGAAUUCAGAUUUGCAGAAGAGCAACCCCCAGAUGAUUAUGUAGUAGAUCUUGCAGAAAAUAUGCUAUUUUAUUCUGAAAAACACAUAAUUUCUGGAGAAUAUAUUUAUGAGGGAUGGGAACCAGAGUUAGUCAAGCAUGUUCUGAGCUUCUUUCAUCCAGACAACAUGAGAGUUGACAUACUGAGCAGAUCAUUUGAUAAACAGUCCCAAGCCAUUAGAUGUGAACCAUGGUUUGGUUCACAGUACAUUGAAGAGGAUAUUCCGCCAUCUUUGAUUGAAAGCUGGAGAAAUCCUGUGGAGAUAGAUGGUAAUUUUCAUUUACCUCGGAAGAAUGAAUACAUCCCAGGGGACUUCAGUCUGCGGAAUGCUAGCAUUCCUAAAUCCUCAAACGAUGAUAAUCCUCGAUGUAUUGUGGAUGAACCAUUCAUAAAGCUCUGGCACAAGAUGGAUAUUACAUUUAAUGUUCCUCGUGCCAAUGCAUACUUUUUGAUUUCUGUCAAGGAUGGCUGUAGCAGCCUCAGAAACUCUGUUCUGACAGAUCUGUUUGCAAACCUUCUUAAAGAUGAGCUAAAUGAGGUCCUCUAUCAGGCUUAUGUGGCUAAACUCGAGACAUCAUUAUCUGUCGUUGGUAGCAACCUUGAGCUAAAGCUUUAUGGUUACAAUGACAAGCUGGCCAUCCUGCUGUCCCACAUCUUGGCUGCUUCUCAGUCCUUUUCUCCAAAGAUGGAUAGGUUUGAGGUCAUCAAGGAGGACUUGGAAAGAGCUUACAGAAACACGAAUAUGAAACCUAUGAGCCAUUCCACCUACUUGAGGCUACAGUUCUUACGUCAAAUAUUCUGGGACGUCAAUGAAAAAUUGAAAGUUCUUGCGACGUUAACCUUUUCAGAUCUGGCAGCAUUUGUUCCAGAGCUCCUUUCUCAGUUACACAUCGAGGGCCUAUGUCAUGGUAACCUGUCAGGAGAGGAAGCGAUAAAUAUAUCAAAAAUAUUCAAGAACACUUUGUCAGGCCAGACACUGUCAGUGGAGGCAAGACACGGUGAAAGAGUUCUUUGCAUUCCUCAUGGUGCAAAUUUUAUUAGAAGUGUACGUGUGAAGAAUGAUCUUGAAGAGAAUUCUGUGGUUGAGGUUUAUUUUCCAGUUGAGCAAGACAUUGGAAAGGAGUCAACAAGGCUCAGAGCUAUUACAGAUCUUUUCAGCAAUAUCAUUGAAGAACCUUGCUUUGAUCAGCUGAGAACGAAGGAGCAGCUUGGCUAUACUGUGGACUCCAGUCCAAGGAUGACUUACCGCCUGCUGGCGUAUUGUUUUCGAGUUAUGUCCUCCAAGUAUAGCCCUGUUUACCUGCAAAGCAGGAUUGAUAACUUUAUUGAUGGUCUGUCUGCUUUGCUGGAUGGGCUUGAGGAGGAGACUUUUGAGCAUCACAAGAGUGGGCUAAUAGCUCAAAAACUCGAGAAGGAUCCUUCCCUUAGCUAUCAAACUGGCGAUUACUGGUCGCAGAUUACCGACAAAAGGUAUAUGUUUGAUAUGUCAAAACUGGAAGCUGAAGAGCUAAGGACAGUUGGGAAGGAGGACGUCAUCAGUUGGUACAAUACCUACAUAAGAUCAUCUUCUCCAACACGUAGACGAUUGGCAAUACAUGUGUAUGGUUGCAACCCGGAUAUUGCUGAGGCUGCCACGCUGCAAGAGCAGUCAUGGACUGCAAUUGAUGAUGUUGAAUCCUUGAAGGGUUCUUCCCAAUUUUAUCCUAGCCUCUGCUGA
rnacentral:rRNA from 1 species